rnacentral:lncRNA from 1 species
UGUUUGAGGAUUGAAUGUGAUGAUUGUAUUGAUUGGGGUUAUUGUAUAUGAGGUUGAUAUUUAUAUAUUUGGGAGAUGUAUUGAGUUAGGGAAAGGCUUAAGGCCUAUGUGUGCCGGUGUAACGUGGUGGAAUGACAUAUAUGUAUGUCUCGGGCGUUAUAUCGUUUCUUGUUGGGUUAUGUGGCAAUCAUUUGAGUUGGCAUGAUUCAUCGCCGAAGCGGGCAUGCGGCGUGCCUGUAAAUGAAGUAACGUAGAUGCGUGAUGUCGUGGAGACAACGUGGAACGUAUGAACAUGGUGGCGGAUCAAGCGAGAACCAAUGUCGGUAACUUGAUUGCGUGAAGGCGUGAGACAGCGUGAUGUCGUUGAGACAACGCAACAUGAAAGUUCUCGCGCGACAACAUGAAGAACGCGGGUACCGAUUUAGGUGGCGUGGUCUCAUUGUUGGCACCGCCGGGGUUUAUCCUCGUUUCUUGUUGAUUGCUUUCGAUUUACUGAAUGUUAAAGUUAGAUGCUUAUGCUAUGUUGUGUGAUGAUUGUUGGUGAUUGAUUUCGGGGCUCCUAGAGCUUCGCUCACUAAGCUUUUGUCGAAAUGCUCACCCCUCCUUCUUUCCUUUUCAUUUCAGGUUCGGCUCACAUUGGUGGGUUUUUUUGUCAAAGACGUCCUGGGAUCCUAAAGACACAUUGUUUCGGCCUUGUGGCUGGAGACAAGUGUCAUGAUAUCGCCGACCAUUUCAGCUAUGCUGGGUCGGGGUGCCACAAGUGGUAUCAGAGCCAAGGAAAGACUCCCUAGUCCUAACCUAGAGGGUUAGUCUCGACUCAAAGCAAUAUGAAUUGAACAAGUUCCUAAUCUCUUACUUAAUGGUUGAGUUUUCCCCUUGCUCCAUUUGGAAUUCGGGGCGAAUUCCUAGUUAAAUGGGGUAGAGUUGUCACAUCCCGGUUCUCCCAAACCGGAAUGAUUUUGUUUUUCUUGAUUACUUUUCUUGAUUAUUAACUUGAUUUAGACCAAAGCCCAUUAGCUUUUAUCCUUCUUUUCUGGCCCGUGUAGUAAACCCUAAGGUUUCCUCUUCUUUUCCUAUAAAAAGGAGUCUCCUCCUUCUCUUCUCUCCCAUUAGAAAUCAGAGCGAAGCCUUGCAGAGUUCCAGAGAGAUCUGAAAGCCUUAGCCGUCAAGGUUUCUCUUUUCUUCUCUCUCGUUCUCUCUCACUUGCGUCUCUCUCUCUCUCUCUCUCUCCUUGGUGUUCGCCAUUUGCUGAAGGCUGGAGCCAAGCCGUUGGAGAUCCCCGAUGAACCGAUCCAAUUCUAUGUCCAGAUCUCUCUUUGUCUUCUUUCUAGAUCUGGUCGCUGGUGAGGUAAGGAACCCUAGUUCUCGUUUCCUCCAUCUCUUUGUUCUCUUUUAUCUUGGAUCUCUCAUCCCGGAUUCUUUGGUGGUAGCACCAAUCCUUUUUGUUGUAGAUCUGGUUCGUGGAAAGCCAUAAGCUUCAGAUCUGGUUCUACUCUCUUUUCCAUUCUCAGAUCUAAGGCCAAGGUGAGGGCUUGUUGCAAUCUCUAUCUCCUUCUAUCAUUAUCUCAUCAUGGUAGAAGUGUCUAGGUUGAUCAUUCAUCCCUACUUGUUACUUUCUAUAGAUCUAUUAAUAUAAAUAAAUAUUCAUAUGAUAUAUAUAAAUAUCUUGAUGCUUGAUGUGUGAAAAACAUAGAUCUAUUGCUAAGGUUGUUAAAAUAUGGUUGAAUGAUGUUUGAGGAUUGAAUGUGAUGAUUGUAUUGAUUGGGGUUAUUGUAUAUGAGGUUGAUAUAUAUAUUUGGGAGAUGUAUUGAGUUAGGGAAAGGCUUAAGGCCUAUGUGUGCCGGUGUAACGUGGUGGAAUGACAUAUAUGUAUGUCUCGGGCGUUACAUCGUUUCUUGUUGGGUCAUGUGGCAAUCGUUUGAGUUGGCAUGAUUCAUCGCCGGAGCGGGCAUGCGGCGUGCCUGUAAAUGAAGUAACGUAGAAGCGUGAUGUCGUGGAGACAACGUGGAACGUAUGAACAUGGUGGCGGAUCAAGCGUGAACCGGUGUCGGUAACUUGAUUGCGUGAAGGCGUGAGACAGCGGGAUGUCGUGGAGACAACGCAACAUGAAAGUUCUCGCGCGACAACAUGAGGAACGCGGGUACCGAUUUAGGUGGCGUGGUCUCAUUGUUGGCACC